CGCGUAGGCGGCCUUCUAAGUCGAACGUGAAAUCCCUGGGCUCAACCCAGGAACCGCGUCCGAUACUGGAAGGCUUGAAUCCGGGAGAGGGAUGCGGAAUUCCAGGUGUAGCGGUGAAAUGCGUAGAUAUCUGGAGGAACACCGGUGGCGAAGGCGGCAUCCUGGACCGGCAUUGACGCUGAGGCGCGAAAGCUAGGGGAGCAAACG
rnacentral:rRNA from 1 species